UACGUAGGGCGCAAGCGUUGUCCGGAAUUAUUGGGCGUAAAGAGCUCGUAGGCGGUUUGUCGCGUCUGCUGUGAAAACCUAAGGCUCAACCUUGGGCUUGCAGUGGGUACGGGCAGACUGGAGUACUGCAGGGGAGACUGGAAUUCCUGGUGUAGCGGUGGAAUGCGCAGAUAUCAGGAGGAACACCGGUGGCGAAGGCGGGUCUCUGGGCCGAUACUGACGCUGGAGGAGCGAAAGCCGUGGGGAGCGAACAGG
rnacentral:rRNA from 1 species